UGGUGCUGUGCGGUCAUCAUCUCACAAUGACGCUCCAGAUCUCUUUCUUGGGAUAAAUUAUCUGGGGUCUUACACUAGAUGAUAAAGUGGGCUGAGGCUUCCCACCAAAGCCAAGCCUUCUGAUCUGCCAUCUCCAAAUUCACACGCAGAGCUUCAGGCUGUGGACUGAGAAAGACAAUGAGAAGCAAAUCCUCUCCUCUUUCUCCAACCCACCAGUGCGAGAACUUUCCAUCUAUGGUUGGAGGGCUGGAAUGGGGUCACUUCCCCGUGGAGGCCAGUUAGUUCAAGGACACACACUCCCCAGUCCAGCCUUUAGUCUUGUCCAGCAGGUGCCUGAGUAGGUGAUUCCUGUAUCUGAUUCCUGCAGAAUUCCAUCUGACCUCUGAUUACACCUCCCUGAACUCUACUGCAACAAGCCUGAGUCCCUAGGUCCUGCCUCACUGCUUGCAUUCAAUGCAGAACUGAGGCAGCACAGCACAGGUUAAAGGCAUUAGCAGUUCUCAAUGACUGAAUUGUAAUGAGGACGAGAUGCUAAAUUAAAGUUUAUUGCAGAAUAAAAGUGUAUGUAGUCAGCAGUUGUUUAAGAGGCUACAAUGAGAUGCCUUCUAGAACUUGGCAAUACAAUUAUGUAGAGUUAAGUGAGUAAAAUGCACACACAGAUGAGAUUAGCUGUCGGCAAAAGUCAUUUUGAGACAAGUCAUCUUUUGGGAAGGCAGAAAGAGCUAGAAUGCUCGUCAAGAUGUGAUUAAACAUGGAAGAAACAAUAGCCUCAUCAAAGCAUGGAGAUAUUUGCAGUGUGAAUUAAAGAACUGAGCUUCUGGAUUUGCCACUCUGAGGUCUGGACCCUGAGCCUGGGUGACAAAGUGCACCGCCUGGGACCUGUGGGUAGAAGUGUCUCACACGGCACAUAUAAACGACAUGCAAGCCUGUAGCUGUGUGUGAAAUAAAGACCAUGGGGGAAUGUAAGUUUUAUUUGCAUAAACCUCAUGUGGCUGAUAACAAAGUUCCUAUUACAAAGUGUUCUGGGAGUCGUUGUGAGCAGUUGACCAUGAGUGCCUAUUAUGGAUAAUAACACUUACCUGCACUUCAUAGUUUUUAUAAAGUCUAAGUGUGAUAAUGAUGUAAACUGCUUAUUUCUUAGCAAAAACUAAGCACUCAGUAUACAAGUUUCAUGUUUUAUAA